rnacentral:rRNA from 1 species
AUUGAACGCUGGCGGCAGGCCUAACACAUGCAAGUCGAACGCGUGGCGGACGGGUGAGUAAUGUCUGGGAGACUGCCCGAUGGGGGGGGGUAACUACUGGAAACGGUAGCUAAUACAGCGUACCAUCUGAUGUGCCCCGAUGGGAUUAGCUGGUAGGGGAGGUAACGGCUAACCUAGGCGACGCUCCCUAGCGGGUCUGAGAGGAUGACCAGCCACACUGGAACUGAGACACGGCCCAGACUCCUACGGGAGGCAGCAGUGGGGAAUAUUGCACAAUGGGCGCAAGCCUGAUGCAGCCAUGCCGCGUGUAUGAAGAAGGCCUUCGGGUUGUAAAGUACUUUCAGCGGGGAGGCGUUACCCGCAGAAGAAGCACCGGCUAACUCCGUGCCAGCAGCCGCGGUAAUUC